CGCGCGUGAGGACAGACGAUCGGUUAUCGAUCUGAAGAAACAACUCGACCUUCUCACGACAAAGCUUACAGAUCUGGAGGACAGGGGUCGCAGGAAUAACAUCAGGCUUGUUGGCUUACCUGAAAUGUAAGAAGAUGGCAUUCGAAUCCCCUCAACUGGCAGAAGAUUUCAUUAACUCCCUGCCGCGAAAGCUGAAUCCUGCAACGCCGCAGUGUGUUGAUGGGGCCCCCGCUUUUCCUCCCGAUCUAAACAGCGCGGCCAACGACGCUGGCAAUCAGCAUGCAGGAGAAGGCAACUUAGUGGACAUGAAUGACUGAACGCCGGUUAGUUGACCUGUUUUAGUUGCAGCAGGCCUCAACUAGGUUGACGGCAGGAUCACUUUCAUGGGUUAAGGUUGGUUACAUUUAAUUUAGCGACUUGCUUCGCCCCUACCGGGGGUACUUUUUUUUUAUUUAUUUAUUUUAUUGUAUUUUAUCUUAUCUUAUUUUGUGUAUGUAUGCAUGUGUAUGUAUGUAAAUGUGUAUGUGUGUAUAUAUGUAUAUGCAUGUGUAUGUGUAUGUGCAUGUAUGUAUAUAUUUAUAUAUAUGUAUUUUUUUUUUUUUUUAAUUAUUUAUUUUACUUUUCUUUGAGCUUAUCAUGGUCACAUAUUUGCUGGCUGUUGUUACUGUACGUAUAUAAGAUACAUUUGUAUUAUUUUAUUUUGUUUUUGUUGCAAAUAUUCAUAUUUUAUAUUCUUUUUUUUUUUUUUUUCUCUUCUCGCUAAAUAAGAUAAUUUCACUCAGUCGGGAGGGUGUGGGAUAUACUUACCCACUUAAUUUCCGUUGACUAUGUGUGCACGUCUGACCCUCAAGUUUUUUGUGUUGGAGUGGAAGGACCGGUUACGAAUCAAUCAGAAGUUUGUGUUUUAGCAGACCUAUGGAGGGAGCUCUGUGCGGUCUGCACCAGUUUUUGUAUAUAGUUUUUUCCUCCCCUGUCCCCUCCCUUGCAGACAUAUCUCUAUGCAAAGUUAUAAUUCCAGUAGCAUUAGUGAAACAUUGCAGUACCUGGCAGGGGUAUGGUGGCCUUGUAUUUUACUACACACUGACGUUCCUCUCUUGCUAUCUUCACAUUGGGACCAUUCUUGGACACUUGCCGUACCGAUGCUACCAUUGAUUAUUCUGUCACUUAACGUUAAUGGUCUUAACUCCGCUAUUAAGCGGACACGUGUCCUUGAGUACCUAUACCGUAAAAACGCUGACAUUGCUUUAAUCCAAGAAACACAUCUGAAACAAGGUGAUGUGGCAC
ensembl:lncRNA